UGUGCGCCUCACCUCUUCCAAACAGCCAGAUCUAAAGGUGGCCCGGCCUCAUUUGCCACCUCUCGGUCUCAAUACGCUUUAAUCGUAAUCAUUUAAAAAAAAAGGGGGGGGGGGGGAGAUGGAGAAAAACCGUUUUGCCAUUUUUCUGUUGUUAGAAGCGGCCCUGCAAAGCUCCCAUCUGCCCCGCAGCGAGCUGGGCUGGCGGAGGCUAAGCGCGGAGCGGCUUUGCAGCGGGGCCGGGAGCGAGCCAUGGUGGGGAGGCUAGUUACAUUUUGACUUCGUUCUUGCAACAAGCGCUUCGCAUCCACCCGCGCCAAGUGUUUCGCCCUGGAGACGGGAAGAAACCAAAAGAAACAGCUGUUGGAUUUUGGGAGCAGACCCUGGCCUAAGAGUUUGGUCAGUAAUGUUACUGGAAAUGUGCAGCUGCUGCUUUUUCCUGCAUAGUCUUUUCCUGUCCAUCUCCCUCAUUCUUUGGGAAAGAACACUGCAGAGACUACUCUCAGUCGGUACUUGUCAAGAUGUUGGGCUUGCAACAAUCAAUAGCAGGAUAACACCAGGCCAAAUGGAACCCAGCCCAUAUUGUUAAGAAAGGCACCGAGUCCAAGUCAGAACCAAAGUGUCUGUCCAGCUUCCCCUGCUCAGAUGUUGGAACUGGUGAUGUGGGGGGAAGGAAUCCAAGUAAGCACAGCGCUACUCCUGUCACUAUGAAGUAUUGAGUGUCCUCAGGAUGGAGAGAAGAGUGUGUCUGGUUUUGUGGUCUGCAAGCUCUGCUCCCCACUUCCCUACACCAUCCUUCAAAAUAAAACCAUUUAAAGAGAAGAACAUAUUUUGUUUUACAUGUAAAGCUCCCUCCCCCUGCAACUUCCUCAUAGCAGAGCAAACCAAGCUGGGCAUCCAAACCAAGAGGGAAAACCAAACCUCAUAAGAGACCCCCAUGCUCUCAAACAUGCACAGGGGUAUUCCCUUACCUAGUAGCUCCCAAACGCAGAAGCAGUAAGGCUGACAUAAGGACAAGCAUCUUGUUCCCACUUUGACAUUUUUGGCAUGUCUCUCCCCAUUCCUUCGAAGACAAAUGAUUUGUUGUUGAAAACUGGUGGCUUGGCUGCUCCCCUCCCAGCUACCCAGACAUGGCUGGUUGUGCCUGCUGAGCUGCUAUCAAUCCUUUCUUUCCAGCUGCAAUCCGUGUGACUCAGAUUCUCCAGAAAACUCCUGGCUCAGCAUCAUAGGAGGCGGAGGGAUUAAAACUUACGAAAAAAUGAGCUUGUACCAGCUCGUUAUAUAAGUCUGUAAUGGAGGGUCAUAUGAGCUGGUCAUUUCUCCUGCCUUCCCUUCUCCGAUCCUCUGUUAUUCUUGGCUGCAAACUUUUGGAGUCCCAGUAGGGAUGGCUGGAAUGGGACAGGAUAUCCCAAUCAAAAGCCCAAUUCCCAGCAUGGUUUUUUCCUGCUGGAGGCAGUCAGAAAAGUCUCUUUUUUUUUUUUUUUUUUGGUAUGGUUUGUCUGACCUACAUUUUCUAACACGGUGUGACCUACAUUAUUUCACUGACCUACAUUUCCAUUUUGAAAAAUAAAAAGCCCGGGAAAAAAGGCCAAUAGAGACAUACGGGAAGCAAGAACCCAGGCUCCUGGGAAAGAUCUCCAAGCAGUUGCCUGAAAGCAAAGCAGAUUAUGCAGCUUCUCAUUUUUUUUUUCUUCCUCCCCCACAGCUGUUUCUGCUUAAAAAACAAAACAGUUUGCCUGCAAAUUCGAUUUCAAAUUGGGAUAGAUUUUUAAUGAAGUACAAGGGCUUCUCUAGACCAUUUUCCCCUCCCAUCUUGAAGUGAAUUUAGCCCCAGUAAAAAGGAGCUAUUUUUUGUAAGGAGACAGCGCCCACUAAAGGCAGCAUUGGCCUCCCCUCCAGCUACAAGGUGUUAGCUUAUUUGGUGCCUGGGAUUGGUGUGUGGAGUCCACCAAAGAUAUGGAAGGCCCAGGAGAGGGAGGAAGGAAUCCCAGAACCCAGUUAUCAGCUGAUAGAGGGGGACAAAAAGUGAAUAAACUGGAACAGGGGUGCAGGCCAUAGGGUCAAAACAAGGUAAACAGAAGGGGACAAUUGACAGCUGGGCAGUGUAACAGUCUCUGUUUAUUCACAGACCAAGUACAGGAUGGGCAGUAGCAGUGUAGGCUUCCACACGCAACAUACCAGUGUUCCACCCUUGGGCCCUCUCCCCUCUUUCUUCCACACCUUAGCCCUGGGUGAGUUUAUGCACCCAUGGUUUUAACUGUUCCUCUCUAUACUGACAACUCGCAGAUUGUUCUCUAUUACACCUGACAGCACUACCUUCUUCCCUGUCACCUAGGCUCACAACCUGGGAGUCAUCUUGGAUUGCUGCCUCUCAUUCUUCCUCAAUAUCCAUGCUGUAUUCUCACCAAAACUAAAACAAACAAACAAACAAAAUAACAUUUUGGUUUGAAUGAAAUGUUUGACCCAAAACAAUUUUUGUUAUGUUUCAUUUUGGGUCAUUUUUGGCAGUAGUGUAGUCCAGGUUAAACACAGGUAAACUGAGUUUACCCACUUCUCACUUGGGGAAUAUGGAGUUUAGUUUACCCAUUUCUUUUUUUACCACUACAUCACUGGUUUUCGGGUGUGUUCCCCCCUCUUUUAGUUUUUAAAAAGUAAAAGUAAAAGUAAUCUUCAAAACAAAACACCAUUUCAAAAUAAAAGGCUAAAAUGAACCAUUUCAACUUUACAAAAAAAAUCGAAUUUGUUUUGGACAAAACUAUUUGCUAAAUUUGAUCCAAAUUCAGCAAAUAGUUUUGGGGACCCAAAAAUGCAUUUUCCAGCAAAUUUACUAUUUUCUAAUUUACAAUUUUGUUUUUAAACUUUGGAGUGUUAUCUUUUUUCAUAUCCUCACAGCAUAAACAUUUUACCACAGUUAAUACACUAGGUUUAGUUUAGCAUAAUAUAUCUUUAAUGGACAGUGUUAGAAUCAGCAUACAAAAUGACUUUCCAUCACUUUAUACACCCUGGGCUGCAAUUCCCCCUGCGUUAUUCCAGAUGUAUAUCAGUGUAACGCCACUUAUUUCAACAGAGUGGAAUUGAUUUCAAUGGAGUUACACUAGAGCAGUGCACCAGUGACUCAGGCUUUAGAAUUUUCACUCAACAAUAGGCCUGGUCCGUGUAGGUGCUAAGUUCCCUCAGAUGCCACUGACUUCAGUGGAAGCCAAUUAUGGUUAGCAUCCUGCAGGAUGGAGCCUGUGACACUACAUUCCAUAAUCUUUAUGAAAAUAUGCUUAGAUAUGGAUAUGACAUAACUGAGAUAUACUUUAUUCA